UAAAUCUCUCUCAACUCUCAAGUCUACUGCCGCCCUCCCCUCCCCCAUUCGGCCUCUCCGUCACUCGUCUGGUACAACUGUGCGCCUCCCGCCGAUCGUUCCUCUGCUCCACGCUAUCAACGUCGUUCUGCGUUCGGUUCCUGCGUCCGCUGGUCUGCUUGCUUCUUUGCUCUUCUCCGCCGCUUCCUCUGCUCCAGUCUUACCGUC
rnacentral:lncRNA from 1 species